UCAGGACAGUUGGUAGCAGCUCCC
rnacentral:miRNA from 1 species